GUUUGAUCCUGGCUCAGAUUGAACGCUGGCGGCAGGCCUAACACAUGCAAGUCGGGCGGUAACAGGGAGAAGCUUGCUUCUCUGCUGACGAGCGGCGGACGGGUGAGUAAUGUAUGGGGAUCUGCCUGAUGGCGGGGGAUAACUACUGGAAACGGUAGCUAAUACCGCAUAAUGUCUUCGGACCAAAGCGGGGGACCUCCGGGCCUCGCGCCAUCAGAUGAACCCAUAUGGGAUUAGCUAGUAGGUGAGGUAACGGCUUACCUAGGCGACGAUCCCUAGCUGGUCUGAGAGGAUGAUCAGCCACACUGGGACUGAGACACGGCCCAGACUCCUACGGGAGGCAGCAGUGGGGAAUAUUGCACAAUGGGCGCAAGCCUGAUGCAGCCAUGCCGCGUGUAUGAAGAAGGCCUUCGGGUGUAAAGUACUUUCAGUCGGGAGGAAGGUGUCAAGGUUAAUAACCUUGGCAAUUGACGUUACCGACAGAAGAAGCACCGGCUAACUCCGUGCCAGCAGCCGCGGUAAU
rnacentral:rRNA from 1 species